rnacentral:tRNA from 1 species
GCGGGGGUAGCAGAGCCAGGUCAAACCUAAAAGGUGAAACGGGACUGUAUGCGCGGGACUCAAGAUCCCGUCCCGAAGGGGUACGUGGGUUCAAAUCCCACCCCCCGCA